CGGGGUGGAGGUAAUGUCUGGGAAACGUGCCUGAUGGAGGGGGAUAACUACUGGAAACGGUAGCUAAUACCGCAUAAUGUCGCAAGACCAAAGUGGGGGACCUCCGGGCCUCUUGCCAUCGGAUGUGCCCAGAUGGGAUUAGCUAGUAGGUGGGGUAACGGCUCACCUAGGCGACGAUCCCUAGCUGGUCUGAGAGGAUGACCAGCCACACUGGAACUGAGACACGGUCCAG
rnacentral:rRNA from 1 species